UGAAUCCAAUUGGACCCUCAACUUGAUAAGCCCAGAAAGACCCAAAUCUGGACCAAGGCCAUCGACCUAACCCGUUCCAAAUCCAGCAAAACAGGCGUGUACAAUACAACCAGUACAUACGCCACCUUCUACUCGUUCUUCGUCUUCUUCAACGCGCUGCAAACCCAAAUCGAAACCCAGUGAAAUCGCGACCUCCAAGCAUCGCGUGACUUGCUCUUCUCUACCUUAUCUUCUCGUAUGAGGAACGUUCGAUAACAAGGCCAGGUGUCUCAAUCUUGAUGCCUCGUCGUCCUUGCCCUAAAUCAGUGGGCUCUCGUCCUCAAUCUGUUGAAAUUGGUAUGGUUGUAGCUGUCAAAGCCUUAUCUUUAGAGAAUUUUUGAAUUUGGGAUUCUCCCACAUUGAUUCAGACCCCUUUUUCUUCCCCCUUUUCCCCUUACAAAUAGGAUUCUCUUCACUGUAUAGUGUAUACCUAAAAGUUACGGGAAUUCUUAUCUCAAUAUUUCAAAUUUUUGGCUUUUGUGGUUAUUCGAGUUGAGAGUUGAAGGCGGUGGUGAAAUCGUCUCUGCCGAACGCAUUCGCCCAAUUUGCUGCCCAGAACCAUGUAAUCUUCUUGCUCUUUCUUCAGUCUUUUCUUCAACCUUUUCUUUGUGUUACAUUGUAGAAUUGUUAUUUGUCUUAGUAUUGUUAAUCAUCUUUUAGAUUCAAUGUGAUUAGUUAAAAUAAGGGUGAUGUUUAUGUGAUUGGCAAAAGUUUUCAUUAUCCUGAUCUCUUAGUUAAGUCAACUUUGAAUGAGUUUAUUAAAUAUUUUGCUUUAUUGAUGGUUGUUUUCUUAAGAUAUGAAUCUGAUUCUUUACUUAGUUGAGCUCAUAAAUAUGUACAUAUAUGUGAUUCUAGAUGUUAUUAUUCUUAUUCGACUUCGAAAUCCAUGUUAUAUAGUUGUUGUUUUCUGCCUUAAUUUGUUGUCUUCUGUAUUAGAAUUUUACUUAUGUUUUUAUCAAAAAUUGGUUUCCUUAACCUGUCUUAUAAGCGUAGAUUUGGAUAAAUAUCGAUUGUUGUUUUAAAAUAAGGUCUUGUUCAUAGUAUGAAUUCAAGAUGAUUCUGUCAAAAUGGUGAAUGUUAAGCAAUCUUUAGUUUGUUCAUUUGUUGGGACUGGCUGCCAGCACUCUCUGUCAUGUUAGCCUUAAUUCUGCAUAUUUUCUAUCUUGUGUAGAAUUAACUCAGCUAUAUUUUAACUUGUAUAAUGUGAUUUUAUUUUUAUUUUCUUUCCUUGUUCUUUAUGAAGUUUGUUAGUAUGUUAUUGCCACGAUUUUAAGGUUGAUGGUUGCAUUUUUUUUAUUUUGUUAUGCAAGUUCUUUAUGAAUAUGUUAAGUAUGUAUCUGCUUGUCUUUAGCGUUGUGAUGUUGUUCCCUCUCGUCUAUGAUGGUUGGUUGCCCUCUUUGAGUGCAUAUAAUAGGAGAUAUAAUCUGUGUAUUCUUCCCCAUCUAGUUGCACAUUCCUUUUCUUCAGUCAACCUCCGCCAAGUUAUGAAAGGAAAGCUGAUAUAUUGGGUUGAGACCCGAAAACCAGCAGCAACAGUAGCUCCAAAGAGCUAAAAUGAGGAGCAAAAUUUGGGUUAAAACCCAUAAUUAACGAAGCAGCAGCAGCCUUGAAAAGGCUGAAAAUUGAUAAUUUUUGGACUCUCAAUAGUCCACUAAAAUGACCAGCAGCAGCUGCUGCCUCUAACGGAUUAAACAACAGCACAACAAUUUCAGCCCCCUAAAAUGGUCGGAUGUGGGCUGGAAAUUUCAGUUAUUUAAUUCACUGUUUACUUUGAUUUCCUCAUUAUUUUUUUUUAUUGUGAAUGCCAACUUUUGUUUACUUUUUCUUGAACAUAGAUGAAUCCUUUUGGAGGUUUUGUAUUGGCUUUUCUAUUUCAUUACUUGUUUACUUUAAGCUUUCAAAUUUUCACUCUUUUAACUUCAGCUAAUUUAAGCUUAUAAAAUGACUUGAGAACCUUUUAUGUUCUUUCACAGUUAUUGAAAAGCUUUGAAUGAGUUUGAACUAACUAUUUAGUUCAAAUUUUGAAUAGGAUAAAGUUGUUAAGUUUGUUAAAAUAAAUUAGUUGUCUUUUAAUUUAACUUAGGACUUUAUAUGAAUGACUUAAGGAUUUUACAUAUCCUUUCAUAGUUGGGCGAAAUGGUUUGGUGGACCCUUAUACUUGUAUCAAUUUGUAUUCUGAGCCCUCCUACUUACACUUUUGUCAUCCGGACCCUUAAACACAAUUUAACAAAUCCCUCUGACCAUUGACCAAGCUUAUGUGUCUUUGAGAUGGUUGAGUGGCAAAAGUGUAAUUUCACGCAUCUUAAGGCAAGUGAACAACUUUUUUAGGUUAAAAAAAUAUUAAAAUUAUAAAAAAAAAUAUUUUUUUAAAAACAAUUAAUUAAAAAGAUUUUUUUUCUUCCCUAGAGCUUAAUUGCUUUCCCGGCAACUUUAACUUCCUUUCUUCCAUAUCUUCAAUCUUUUGCAGCAAUUUUUGGAUGUAUUUUUAACACAAGAAAAUCUCCAUCUAAUCCAUUAAACUUGUCUCCUUCUGAUCUAUUUUGCAACAAUUUUUGGAUGUCUCCUUUGAUAACCAAAAAAUCUCCUCCAAGUCUCCUUCUAAUCCUUUAAAGUUGUCCUUUUCAAUUGAUUUUGAUAACCCAAGAAAAUUUAAAGCGAAUUUUGAGUAGAUUUCGACGAUUUUUAUGACAAAUAUUGGUGUGAAAUUGUAUUUAUAAGCAAUUUGGGGUGUGAAAGUAGUAGUCGACGUUGGAUUAUGAAAAUUUUGGCCAGAUUUGGUUGUGCGUGGCCAGAUCUGAUUGUGUGGUGGCUUGUUACGCCAAAUUUCAGUUUCUACUGAGAUUUUCCAAACAUUUUCCAAAUAGACCUUAAAAAACUUCAACACUGUCAAACCCUGCCAUGGGCCGGUGACCCGAAAAUGGACGGCGGCAGCAUUCUAGAAACGAUCAGAGUGGAGAUCAUCAGAGUAAUGCCACCAAAAUCCUUAAAAACUUCAACACUGUCAAACCCCGCCAUGGGCCGGUGACCCGAAAAUGGACGGCGGCAGCAUUCUAGAAACGAUCGGAGUGGAGAUCAUCAGAGUAAUGCCACCAGUAUCUAUCUACAUGUUGUUACUGUGGAGGUUGGAGGAGGAAAGAAAAAUAGUGAUGGUUUUCAUCGGAGAUGAAGAAGGAUGAGGGAGAAAGUAUAUGUGAUUUCGCUGGCAAAAAUGGUGAUUUUGCCGGCAAAAAUGGCGAUGACGCCGGUGGCGAUGACUUUCUUUUGGUUGUGAAAUAGUGAAAAUAGGGAGAAUUAGAAAUGCUAAUAGUAAAUUAAAAUGUUAUUAUUUUACAUUUUCUUAAAUAUUUUUAAAAAUAGUUAUGAAAUAAUUAUGAUGUGGCAUUAAUAUAUGUGACGUGGAUAUGACAUGUCAACUAUAUAAAGGAGAGUGGGCUAUACACAUGGUUGAAGGGGCUCAAAAGUCUCAUUUUAAUUGAGUUUAAGGGUCCAGAUGACAAAGGGGUAAAUAGAAGGGUUCAGAAUACAAACUGAUACAAGUAUAAGGGUCCACCAAUCUAUUUUGCCUUCAUAAUUGUGAAACAAGGUCCUUUAAUUUAUGUUUAUGAGUUUGAAUUAAUUAUAUGGUUCAAAACAUGACUAUGGAUAAAAGUUCAUAUUAUUCUUGAGAUUUUUAAAAGUAUCAAGAAAUUUUUAUUCAAGUUUUAAACAAGAUUUUUUUCCAAGUAAUCUUGAGUUUUUCUUUAAAAAUUAGCCAACUUUUAAAUCCGUCGGUUAACCGCGUGUCAGCGGAUCCUUUAAGAUGUCUAAACCCUUUCUUAGAGAAUUAUUUGAACCCUUGCCCGACUCUGUUUUAUUUAAAUGUUUUCUUUCAAAAACUACCCUUUUAAAACGGUUUUGUGGCGGCUCCUAAGAUUGCAAUUCUUCCAAAAUCAAUAAAUUUGCCAAAGUUGUGAAAACAACUUCGAAACCUUUAGUUUUCGAAAUGGGAUCGUAACAGUAAUCUUAUCCCCUUUCCAAAUUGUUUUUACUUAUAUAUUUUUUGUUUAUAUUUCAGGAUAUUUCAGUAUUAGAAUAGUGUAAGUUUCAUGAUUCCAUUGUUUCACUUCUGUUUAGGUGUAAUUUACAUCUUGGCUUUGUAGUUUUAGUUCUGCGUAUUAUAAUACUGGAAAUAAGCUAUUUUCUGACUACAAUUGCUGACUACAAAUAUGUAAUCGGAAGUAUGGAUAGUUUUUCGACUACUGUAAUCGGUAAUUUAAAAUUUAUACGCAUAUAUAUUUUUAAAAUGUUACCCGAUUAUGAUUUUGACUAUUGUAGUUGUAAAAUUAUAUGAAAUAAAAUCAAUAAAAUAAUAUACAAAAUGCCCAAUUAUAGUAGUCGGCAACUUAUAAGAAUAAUUAAUAAAUCUUAUUAAAUGGCGACUAUUGUUGUCAGCAAUGUUACAAUAUUUUUUAAUUAAAUAUUUACUUAAAUUGACUAAAAAAUAUAAUCGUGUUAAGUAAUACAGUAUUUCUUUUAAUUAUUAUUUCACUGAACUCUCUCAGUUCUCUCGCCAGAACCGUCUCUAUCUCAUCAGUUCUCUCGCCAUUGUCACUCGCUAGGGUUUCAAUUCUGUUGAGAUUAGUUUUAAAAUAUCUAGAGCAGAAAUUGACGACUUAGAUGAAUCGUGAUUUGUGUCUUCCUUUGCAAGUGCAAUACAUGAUGUCUUCCAUCAAAUGAGGUACACAUAAUCUUUUCUAAAACUCUGAUGAUAGGUUAGCUUGUAUAGAAAGUGUAUGUGGCGCGCAGUAGCCAGUGUUAAGAUUGACUUUUUUCUUCUCUCUGCUACAUACUUGGAGAUUUUUGUGUUUUAAGUUUGAAUCCAUAAAAGAAAAUCCUAUGCUGAGUUUUUGUGUUUUUUUUUUUGGAAUUUGCCCUGUUAACUAAAUUUAAUGUCUUUCUUAUUUUAAAACUUGAAAUGGGUUUCUCUCUUAUUCGAAUGACGAUGAAACACUUGAAUGAUGAGUUGUUGCUAGUUUGUUUAGUUAAAUUCUCAAUUUUUUUUUUUAAAUUGUGUGGAUGAAACUUGCACAUCGUAAAUGGAUGUAUGAAAGAACUCCUCCUAAUCGUGCGGGUUGACUGUGAAAUUUAGAGACAACGUUAAAUAUUUGAGGAGACACAAAGAAAAGAAAAAAGGAUCGUACAAAGGGAGAAUGGGUAGAGUCACGUCCGGAGGAGAAAUUUGUAAGUUAUAACACUUCAAUAUUAUAUUAUUUGAUAUUGGGUGAGUUGAGUGGCAGAUUUCAUAUUCUGAGAAUUUGGUUUUGCCUGGUUUCUUCAUUUUUUUCUUGACCGCAACUCCUCUGUUUUUGCUGUCAUGGCUUUGUGAUAUAGUCAAAGAUGGUUUGUGGUUUAUUAUUUUCCUGUUGGCUUUAAUAUGAUCAUCUUUGAUACCAAGCUUGUUGACAAAUUCUUUUCUGCACCAUCUUUAUUGGAUAAGUGGCAGAUUUCAUGUCAAGAGAUUUUUUAAUGAAAAGAUUAAGAUAAGAAUUGGAUGCUGACAUGCACUAAUGGGUAGGUUAUAGGGCCUGUGAUCCUACUAAAUUCAUUUAUUUUUAUUUUGGUCUGUAUUAAGAUAAGAAUUCGAUAUGAGCCUUAAUCACUUUGGACUGAAUAGAGAUCACUCACCGCCACCUUAAAUACAUGCUCUAUUAUAUCUUCAUUAUGAUGCACUCCACUAACACAAUUCAUUUUAUUUUGCUAUUGCUUCUAAUCCUCAAUGCCAUAUUCAUUUGUUGAUGCUAUGUUUUUGUAACUACUGCCUUAGAAACUAAAUAGAGUGGAUCUAUGUCAAAUUCACUAUUUCAACUUGUGAAAGAAUUUGUCGAUAGGAUAUAGUGAUAGCAAAAUUGUUAUUCUGUUGCUUAUAAUAUUUUGUUCUCAAGUUAUUAAAGUGGUCAUUAUUAAUUUGUAAAAAAGGCUUCCUAUGGUUAAAUUGUUUUGUUGGUUCUCAAAAGUAAAGUUUUGGUUAAUCCGUUAUGAGGCAUGAAUAGUAGUUUUCUAGUGAUUUGAUUCAUUUGAAAGAGGCUUGCUUUAAUGGAGUGAAACAAAACUUAUUUCUGAGGCUAGUUCCACAGCACAACUGUCAUAUGAUGAUAUAUAUGGACAAAUAUAGCAGAAGGUGUGAAGAAAGGUAAAAUUUAUGGACUUGGAGUACAACCUUCCUCAUGUCAUUCAUUGUCAUUGAUGUUUGGUGCUUCUACUUCUCAAUCUUCGGAAGAAACAGAAGCAUUACAGAAUGACUUCAAACAUCUAAAGCUAAUUUUAAGAAGUGCAGAAGUUAAGGGAGAAGCAUAUGCAAGAAUCUGAUGAAGAAGCGACUUGCUGAUGAGUAGAUUGUUCUGGUAGUUUAUUUAGGAUGUUUGAACAUCUUCAAUGAGAUUUAGACUUGUUUUUAACUAUUUUUUAUCUAUUUGAAUAAAAGUUGAAUACUUAUUAGAUUUACUUCAGGUGAUGCUUGAACUUUAAACUUAGUUAUGUUUGAAUGGAAAUUUGAAUGGUUAGGUAUA